rnacentral:lncRNA from 10 species
GUCAGCUGGACUUGCCUUUCCCCAGAGGCUAGUGUUCAGGCCUAUGGUGUGCAAGCUCUGGUUCCCCCAACUUGUCACUCACUUCUGCUUCCUUCUGGGCAGUCAGCUGCAGAGCUGUUACAGGGCCUCAGGGAGAACACUUGAUCUCUUGAUUCAUUCAGCCAGUUCUUUCUGUGCUUUCCGUGGUCCAGCGUGAUUUCUGAAAGAUAACAUCUCAGAAGUGGAAUACAAGGAAGCCAUCAGUUAAAAAGUCAGUCUCUUCUGUCACAGACCACAGUGAGGAGACAUGAUGACUAAAUGCAAUGUGGUACCCUGAAUUGGAUCUUGGAACAGAAAGAGGACAAAAUGGGUGAAAUCCAAUUAAAGUGUGGAGUUUAGUUAAUACUAAUGUACUACUGUUUCUUAGUUGUAACAAACGUAGCAUAGUAAUUUAAGAGGUUAACUGGGUGAGAGGUAUAAUUGUAUAAGAUGACUCAGUCCCCUUUCCCUGGGAGCACUC